rnacentral:rRNA from 1 species
CCUACGGGGGGCAGCAGUGAGGAAUAUUGGUCAAUGGGCUUACGCCUGAACCAGCCAAGUCGCGUGAGGGAAGACUGCCCUAUGGGUUGUAAACCUCUUUUGUCAGGGAGCAACGCCGGCUACGUGUAGCCGGACUGAGAGUACCUGAAGAAAAGGCAUCGGCUAACUCCGUGCCAGCAGCCGCGGUAAUACGGAGGAUGCGAGCGUUAUCCGGAUUUAUGGGGUUUAAAGGGUGCGUAGGCGGAAUGCCAAGUCAGCGGUAAAAUCGCGGGGCUCAACCUCGCUCCGCCGUUGAAACUGGCGUUCUUGAGUGGGCGAGAAGUAUGCGGAAUGCGUGGUGUAGCGGUGAAAUGCAUAGAUAUCACGCAGAACUCCGAUUGCGAAGGCAGCAUACCGGCGCCCAACUGACGCUGAAGCACGAAAGCGUGGGUAUCGAACAGGAUUAGAUACCCCGGUAGUC